AAAUUGAAGAGUUUGAUCAUGGCUCAGAUUGAACGCUGGCGGCAGGCCUAACACAUGCAAGUCGAACGGUAACAGGAAACAGCUUGCUGUUUCGCUGACGAGUGGCGGACGGGUGAGUAAUGUCUGGGAAACUGCCUGAUGGAGGGGGAUAACUACUGGAAACGGUAGCUAAUACCGCAUAACGUCGCAAGACCAAAGAGGGGGGACCUUCGGGCCUCUUGCCAUCGGAUGUGCCCAGAUGGGAUUAGCUAGUAGGUGGGGUAACGGCUCACCUAGGCGACGAUCCCUAGCUGGUCUGAGAGGAUGACCAGCCACACUGGAACUGAGACACGGUCCAGACUCCUACGGGAGGCAGCAGUGGGGAAUAUUGCACAAUGGGCGCAAGCCUGAUGCAGCCAUGCCGCGUGUAUGAAGAAGGCCUUCGGGUUGUAAAGUACUUUCAGCGGGGGAGGAAGGGAGUAAAGUUAAUACCUUUGCUCAUUGACGUUACCCGCAGAAGAAGCACCGGCUAACUCCGUGCCAGCAGCCGCGGUAAUACGGAGGGUGCAAGCGUUAAUCGGAAUUACUGGGCGUAAAGCGCACGCAGGCGGUUUGUUAAGUCAGAUGUGAAAUCCCCGGGCUCAACCUCGGGAACUGCAUCUGAUACUGGCAAGCUUGAGUCUCGUAGAGGGGGGUAGAAUUCAGUGUAGCGGUGAAAUGCGUAGAGAUCUGGAGGAAUACCGGUGGCGAAGGCGGCCCCCCUGGACGAAGACUGACGCUCAGGUGCGAAAGCGUGGGGAGCAAACAGGAUUAGAUACCCCGGUAGUCCACGCCGUAAACGAUGUCGACUUGGAGGUUGUGCCCUUGAGGCGUGGCUUCCGGAGCUAACGCGUUAAGUCGACCGCCCGGGGAGUACGGCCGCAAGGUUAAAACUCAAAUGAAUUGACGGGGGGCCCGCACAAGCGGUGGAGCAUGUGGUUUAAUUCGAUGCAACGCGAAGAACCUUACCCUGGUCUUGACAUCCACAGAACCUUGUAGAGAUACGAGGGUGCCUUCGGGAACUGUGAGACAGGUGCUGCAUGGCUGUCGUCAGCUCGUGUUGUGAAAUGUUGGGUUAAGUCCCGCAACGAGCGCAACCCUUAUCCUUUGUUGCCAGCGGUCCGGCCGGGAACUCAAAGGAGACUGCCAGUGAUAAACUGGAGGAAGGUGGGGAUGACGUCAAGUCAUCAUGGCCCUUACGACCAGGGGCUACACACGUGCUACAAUGGCGCAUACAAAGAGAAGCGACCUCGCGAGAGCAAGCGGACCUCAUAAAGUGCGUCGUAGUCCGGAUUGGAGUCUGCAACUCGACUCCAUGAAGUCGGAAUCGCUAGUAAUCGUGGAUCAGAAUGCCACGGUGAAUACGUUCCCGGGCCUUGUACACACCGCCCGUCACACCAUGGGAGUGGGUUGCAAAAGAAGUAGGUAGCUUAACCUUCGGGAGGGCGCUUACCACUUUGUGAUUCAUGACUGGGGGUGAAGUCGUAACAAGGUAACCGUAGGGGAACCUGCGGUUGGAUCACCUCCUUACCUUAAAGAAGC
rnacentral:rRNA from 1 species